AACUUUACUUGUAUUAUAUUUUUGAUUAGUGAUCCAGGUUUUAGUAUGCACUGAUCCUGCUUUGUUGUUGGUUUUAAUAAGAGUUUGUUUCAAACCAGUAGAGAGGUGUUUGGUGUUGCGUUUUCAAAAUAGAUUAUGCGUUUUAAAACUGUGUUUUGGAGUGAGAUAAUCACAAUUUUUUAUCCAACACUAUUAUUUAUGUUUUAUCAACGCAAUAAUCAAAUAAUCACUUGAAACGUAAUCCAGACACUCAAAAUAUGUUUUACAUCCACUAAAAAUCAUAUAAAUAAAUUUAGCUUGAACAUAUGUAGGGAGUGAUUUUAAAUUAAUUGUAAAUGGAAAUCUAAAUGUUAUCCAAGUAAAAAUAAAACAAUAAAAAUACUGUUUUUGUAAGUUAAAAAAUGAUACGGUAUGUUUUAGUCGUUUUGAAAUGUAAGAAGAUUUGAAUUUUUAUUGUCCAAGACAAUUUACAUUAAAACAUAAAUUAAUUGAAUGCGGACAUACAAAAUAAAAUGUGAUUAAAAAAAUCACCUUAAAAAGGUGAAAUCGACUCAAUUGGUUACACGGCGCCACCAACGGUUGAUUGUUAGGCUGGUUGGUUUGUUAGGGUAUACGGAGUGGGACUCGGCAACGUGCGGCAAACCAGUUUGCCGAUCGGCAAACACUGGCGCCGAACUUUUGGCGACGCGGCAAACAAAACGAAUCGGUGACAUGUUGCCGACUCGGGAAGAAGAGAGAGAGUGAGGGAGCAGGAGAGAGAGAGGGAGUGUAUGGGAGAGAGGGUGUUGUGGGGUGGGGUCUAUGCCAUCUCUCAACCAAUCACACCUUUUUCCUUUUUUUUUUAAAAAAAAGUUUACCACUUCACUAAGUGUUUAAAUCAUUGCCAACAUUUUUCACCAAAGUUUAAACACUUUUCACUGAUUAUUGACGUGGCACACUCUCAUUGGUUAAUUUUUUAGUUUGCCACUCCAAAGUGUUUAACCACUCCUUACACCCUUAGGCUGUAUGUUGACUUCACGGAGCUGUGGUAGGUUUGCGGUGCGUAUGGAACACCACCCCUUGGUGGACUUUGAUGGUAAGAAUCUUUAGUCAAUCGUAGGGUGAUAUUCUUGUGGACGGGUGUUUCUAUUACCAACUAUGUAGCUUCUACAUCGAGAAAUUAAGCAUUGUAUAUGUCAUCAUUGGCGAAGCAUAGUGGAGAGUAUGUAGUUUUCGUAUAAAAGUUUUUGGUAUAUACGUUUUCAACCCCACGUUUUAUAGUAUAUACUCAAAAAAUUCUAUAUUUUGGGUAUAUACGUUUUCGACCCCGCGGUCUGAAAUCUCGAGCUUCGCCACUGUAUGUCAUUAGUCUCAUCUUUUGUAACCACCUGUAAUAACGAACUUGCAAAACGAAUUCUCUUAUCAUAAAGAAUGUUGAAUAAUGUUAUCAAAGGUGGGCAUUUCCUACCAAAUAUUCAAAACACUACUCGGAUGUUGUCUACUAAAAUCAAACCAAAACAUGGAUGUUGUUCUUGUUCAUACAAGUGGUAUGUGAUCGGCUAGGCUACCCUAUAAAAGACUAUUUUUUUUCAACACAUUAACACCAUUUAUUUUAGAAGAUUUCACUACUUGAACUAUGUCAUUUAAGAACAUUCACAUCUCAUUCCUAUCAACCCCAUCCUUAUAACUUCACAAAAAAAUAAGGUUUUUUUUUUUUUUUUUAAUUUGACAGUCCAUUCCCUAAAUCGAAGACUAAAUUUAGGGACUCGCGUCUCAUUUUUGUCACAAUUUCACAGAAUAGUAACCAAGUUUUAAGUGUUCUAGUUAGGUCACUGGUGUCGUUUUUGUCACAAUUAGAUAACUUAACAUUCAAAUCGAGUCAUGUCUUUUUUUCCACGU
rnacentral:lncRNA from 1 species